AACGAACGCUGGCGGCAUGCCUAACACAUGCAAGUCGAACGAGACCUUCGGGUCUAGUGGCGCACGGGUGCGUAACGCGUGGGAACCUGCCCUUAGGUUCGGAAUAACUCCCCGAAAGGGGUGCUAAUACCGGAUAAUGUCUUCGGACCAAAGAUUUAUCGCCUUUGGAUGGGCCCGCGUUGGAUUAGCUAGUUGGUAGUGUAAAAGCCUACCAAGGCGACGAUCCAUAGCUGGUCUGAGAGGAUGAUCAGCCACACUGGGACUGAGACACGGCCCAGACUCCUACGGGAAGCAGCAGUGGGGAAUAUUGGACGAUGGGCGAAAGCCUGAUCCAGCAAUGCCGCGUGAGUGAUGAAGGCCUUAGGGUUGUAAAGCUCUUUUACCCGGGAUGAUAAUGACAGUACCGGGAGAAUAAGCUCCGGCUAACUACGUG
rnacentral:rRNA from 1 species